AGGUGUUCUAAAGACCUGCUUUCUAGGCUACGUACGGAGGACGGUGUUCCUCUUGGGCCAAUGGCCCGCCUUGGGGAAAGUCCCCGGACCCUGGGCAGAGAGUGCCGCGCACUUCUUGGUGUGCAACAACCCGUUUCGCCAGCUCACGGAAUCCUCGCCAAGAAGCCCCAAGGGCUGAGCGGGUGAGCGCGGGAGGGGCCUCUCGUCACGCUGAAUAGUUACGCAGGUAGUGCGCAUAUGCUUCUUCGCUCUCGAAGACGUACCGCACCAACAGAACGGGGCUCAUUCUCAGAACGCC
rnacentral:RNase_MRP_RNA from 1 species